rnacentral:rRNA from 1 species
CGCCUAACACAUGCAAGUCGAACGAAGUAGCAAUACUUAGUGGCAGACGGGUGAGUAACAUGUAGGUAUCUACCCUAUGGUUUGGAAUAACACGAGGAAACUUGUGCUAAUACCGAAUAAGUCUUUACGGAGAAAGCUUUAUGCGCCAUUGGAUGAGCCUGCACUUGAUUAGUUUGUUGGUGGGGUAAUGGCCUACCAAGACAAUGAUCAAUAGCUGAUUUGAGAGGAUGAUCAGCCACAUUGGGACUGAGACACGGCCCAAACUCCUACGGGAGGCAGCAGUGGGGAAUCUUGCACAAUGGGGGAAACCCUGAUGCAGCGAUGCCGCGUGAGUGAAGAAGGCCUUUGGGUUGUAAAGCUCUUUCGUCGGGGAAGAAAAUGACUGUACCCGAAUAAGAAGGUCCGGCUAACUUCGUGCCAGCAGCCGCGGUAAUACGAAGGGACCUAGCGUAGUUCGGAAUUACUGGGCUUAAAGAGUUCGUAGGUGGUUAAAAAAGUUGGUGGUGAAAUCCCAGAGCUUAACUCUGGAACUGCCAUCAAAACUUUUUAGCUAGAGUAUGAUAGAGGAAAGUAGAAUUUCUAGUGUAGAGGUGAAAUUCGUAGAUAUUAGAAAGAAUACCAAUUGCGAAGGCAGCUUUCUGGAUCAUUACUGACACUGAGGAACGAAAGCAUGGGUAGCGAAGAGGAUUAGAUACCCUCGUAGUCCAUGCCGUAAACGAUGUGUGUUAGACGUUGGAAAUUUAUUUUCAGUGUCGCAGCGAAAGCAGUAAACACACCGCCUGGGGAGUACG